rnacentral:snoRNA from 1 species
CAUUAGCAAUGAGGAGGAUCUUUCAGCUUUAUAAUGCCAGUUCUACUUCUGAUUCUUCGUGAUUAAAAGCUGGAAUUUUUCUGAGCCUUUC